rnacentral:rRNA from 1 species
GGAGCGCAGAGUUAUUGGGGCCUAAGCAUCCGUAGCCUGCUAUGUAAGUUCUCGGUUAAAUCCAUACGCUUAACGUAUGGGCUGCCGGCAAUACUGCAUAGCUAGGGAGUGGGAGAGGUAGACGGUACUCGGUAGGAAGGGGUAAAAUCCUUUGAUCUAUUGAUGACCACCUGUGGCGAAGGCGGUCUACCAGAACACAUCCGACGGUGAGGGAUGAAAGCUGGGGGAGCAAACCGGAUUAGAUACCCGGGUAGUCCCAGCUGUAAACUAUGCAAACUCAGUGAUGCAUUGGCUUGUGGCCAAUGCAGUGCUGCAGGGAAGCCGUUAAGUUUGCCGCCUGGGAAGUACGUACGCAAGUAUGAAACUUAAAGGAAUUGGCGGGGGGAGCACAG